rnacentral:lncRNA from 1 species
GGAAAUCUUCUUGAAGGGCUGACACGGGAGAUUCUGAGGGAGCAACCGGACAAUAUACCAGCUUUUGCCGCAGCGUAUUUUGAGAACCUUCUAGAGAAAAGAGAGAAAACCAGCUUUGAUCCAGCAGAAUGGGGGGCUAAGGUAGAGGACCGCUUCUAUAACAACCACGCAUUCAAGGACCCAGAACAAGCUGAAAAAUGUGAACAAGAAAUAGCCAAGGCAUCUGGAAGAGAAGAAACACCAGUCACUCCCUUCGAGGAGUCUACUGAGGAAGAAAGAGAACAAGAGGAGGCAGCUGUCAAAAUCCAGUCUGCCUUCCGGGGACACGUGGCUAGAGAAGAGGUAAAGAAGAUGAAGUCAGAUAAGAGUGAGAACGUGAAAGAAGAGGAGAACAAUUGAGACCACAGGUUUUACCCCCAGGAAACAUGAAAAGUAAUCCAAAGCCAUCAGUGUUGUGAUUGUCUUUUUUUCUUCAGUAAGGGAGACGUGAUGUUGUGCCUUGAGCAUGUAGCCCUUCUUAAAAGUCUCUUUUAAUGAUUACCGUACUGUUCCAACCAUUAGGCACAUUAGAGGGCCAUCAACCCCUCUAAACCCAAUCAUUAGACUCCUUUUUAAUGUUUACCUACCCAUGUCAUCCAGUCUCAUGACUUCAUAAACAUCCCCACAUGAUUGCCAGACCUUGCUUCUCUCCAGCUGUAACCUUGUAUAGCCAGAUGCCUACUUAAAACCUAUUGGGAUGUCUAAAGGUUUCUCAAAAUGAUAUUGCCCAAAAAACUCCUGAUACUGCCCUCCCAUCUGCGGUUCUCUUGGUGUUUCCCACCUCAGAAAAUAAAAUAGUGUUCUAUGUGGUCC